UACGAAGGGGGCUAGCGUUGCUCGGAAUGACUGGGCGUAAAGGGCGCGUAGGCGGCUUGCACCGUCAGAUGUGAAAUUCCUGGGCUUAACCUGGGGGCUGCAUUUGAUACGUGUGGGCUUGAGUGCGGAAGAGGGUCGUGGAAUUCCUGGUGUAGCGGUGAAAUGCGCAGAUAUCAGGAAGAACACCAAUGGCGAAGGCAGCUCUCUGGGACGGUACUGACGCUGAGACGCGAAAGCGUGGGGAGCGAACAGG
rnacentral:rRNA from 1 species